CUACGGGGGGCACCAGUGAGGAAUAUUGCACAAUGGGGGGAACCCUGAUGCAGCAACGCCGCGUGGAGGAUGACGCAUUUCGGUGUGUAAACUCCUUUUAUAUGUCAAGAAAAUGACGGUAGCAUAUGAAUAAGCACCGGCUAACUCCGUGCCAGCAGCCGCGGUAAGUACGGAGGGUGCAAGCGUUACUCGGAAUCACUGGGCGUAAAGGACGCGUAGGCGGGUUGGAAAGUCAGGUGUGAAAUCCUACAGCUUAACUGUAGAACUGCACUUGAAACUUCUAAUCUAGAGUAUGGGAGGGGGAGAUGGAAUUAGUGGUGUAGGGGUAAAAUCCGUAGAUAUCACUAGGAAUACCUAAAGCGAAGGCGAUCUCCUGGAACAUUACUGACGCUAAGGCGUGAAAGCGUGGGGAGCAAGCAGGAUUAGAUACCCGGGUAGUC
rnacentral:rRNA from 1 species